GCCUCUUUAGCUCAGCUGGUAGAGCAACUGACUUGUAAUCAGUAGGUCGCUGGUUCGACCCCGGCAAGAGGCU
rnacentral:tRNA from 1 species